AACGCUAGCUACAGGCUUAACACAUGCAAGUCGAGGGGCAGCAUGGUCUUAGCUUGCUAAGGCCGAUGGCGACCGGCGCACGGGUGAGUAACACGUAUCCAACCUGGCCUUGACUCGGGGAUAGCCUUUCGAAAGAAAGAUUAAUACCCGAUGGCAUGGUUUUCCCGCAUGGGGAAUCCAUUAAAGAUUAAUCGGUGAAGGAUGGGGAUGCGUUCCAUUAGCUUGUUGGCGGGGUAACGGCCCACCAAGGCUACGAUGGAUAGGGGUUCUGAGAGGAAGGUCCCCCACAUUGGAACUGAGACACGGUCCAAACUCCUACGGGAGGCAGCAGUGAGGAAUAUUGGUCAAUGGCCGCGAGGCUGAACCAGCCAAGUAGCGUGAAGGAUGACGGCCCUACGGGUUGUAAACUUCUUUUAUGCGGGAUUAACGUGAGGUACGUGUACCUUCUUGCAGGUACCGCAUGAAUAAGCAUCGGCUAACUCCGUGCCAGCAGCCGCGGUAAUACGGAGGAUGCGAGCGUUAUCCGGAUUUAUUGGGUUUAAAGGGAGCGUAGACGGGGGUCUAAGUCAGCUGUGAAAGUUCGGGGCUCAACCUUGGAAUUGCAGUUGAAACUGUUCCCCUUGUGUUCAGUCGCGGUAUGCGGAAUUCGUGGUGUAGCGGUGAAAUGCAUAGAUAUCACGAAGAACUCCGAUUG
rnacentral:rRNA from 1 species